CGGACGGCUCCAUGCCAGGCGGGCUGCGGCGCGGCAAAAGAACCGGUGCCCGGCGCCUCAGAAUGUAUAUGCAGGAAGAUACAUACCCUUUGGGAGAGAAAUAUACAGAAGAACAGCACAGGGCAGAAAGAAGUCCAAAACUGGGGACUAGAGGAGUGGUAACUCCAUUAUGUGCUACUCCUAAAGACCGUGAAAACCCACCUGGGCAAACUCAGCAUCUGUAAGACUCAGUGAGGGGUUGGGAGCAGAGUCUGGCAGCAUCUCCCUGCCUAGCACACUCCCUCCUGCUGCGCAAAGCCCUAACACGUGGAACAGCAGGUGGGCAAAGCAGCAUUCAUUUUUUCUCUGAAUCUGUACAUCCCUUAGAGUGGAGCUUUCUACGCAUGCAA